AAACAAAUUCUUAAGUUGCAAAUUCUCAUUAGUAAGUGGCUCAACAAUAUUUCACAUAGCCAAAGUAUCCGCAGAAUCACCAAAUAAGAUAUCUCUUCAAGUCGCAAUAAAACAAUAGGCAUUAUUUUCUUAUAAAAAUAAUUAUUUUAAUACUUCUUAAAUAAUAAUUUCAAUAUGAAAUGCAAAAUAUUUAAAUGUUUUUACUUUAUUGCAACUUUUAUCUAUAUAAAAAUUGGUCGUUAUACAGAUUUACAUAAUAAACCAAAUCAAACUUAUCACACAAAGAGGUUGGCCUAUUGGUGAAGACCUGGGACUUGAGAGUUUGCUCCUCUUAAUGUUUCAAGUUCAACACCUGGUAGUGUCAACUUUUUGUUAUUUAUCUCCUUUGUUAUUUUUUACUUUUGUUUAAGGUCCCAAUAAAAUCUACUAUUUAUUUAUCAUCUUAUCAUUUAAAUAUUGUUCGUAAAUGUCUUUUAAAAUUGCAUUUAAAUGCUCUAUUUUUAUUCUUGUAACAAUCAUUUAAGUAUUAUUAAUAAAUACUCUAAUUCUAUAAGACAGGAGUGCAGAAGUAAUUUACUUCGACGAUGAGUAUAAUAUAUUUCACAAAAUAUAUUCAAAUGUUUGCAAUUUGUCAUAGCUCGACUUAGUAUUAUCUUAAUUAAAUAAAACAAAAAGUAGAAAUUUCUCAUAAUUUUAAUUCUUGAUGUACACUAUGAUAGACAACAUUUGAAAUUUGUUAGAAAUACUGAAAUGCAAUAUAAGGAAGUUAGUAAGAAGUUCGUUAUGAUGAUUUUAUAAUUAAUUUUUUUGAUACUCAUGAUUUUUGACUAAAAGUUAUUAUGCAUUUAUCAUUGUUGUUUUAUAAUAUUCCUACAUGAACUUACUAGAUAGAUCACAGGAUCAGAUAAUGUAAUAUUCACUUAACUAGUUGUUAUGUUUUGGUGCAAUGCUCCACUCUACGUGUAUACUUCUUGUGUUUCUCCUUCUUUUGGUGAAAGAUGUGUUUUUGCAAAACACAAUUUAAUUCUAAAGUUUGAUGGGAAAAAAGAGUGAAAUGAUUGUGUGUUUAUACCUGGGAGACAAUUAUCUUAUUUAUAGAGUGGCUAAAAUUUAAUAUGUUCCAUGCAAUUGAUAUUUCCUCUCUGGUGAUCUCUUGAAUAUCAAGUGAAAAAUUAUGUGUUGAUUUUUUUAUUAAAACCCAUUUUGAGAUAGGUUUUAUUAACUAUUUAGUUUUAAUAAAAUCCAUAGAUAUCAAAAUAGUGUGAACACGUCGUUGCUCAAAGAAGUGCGGAAAAUAAAAUUUUUGGUUUUCAGGGAUGACCUCAGAUUCAACUUAUCGCGGUGUGCCAUGUUCAUAAACUGAGGUAGACAUGUCAAAUUUCGUGGCAUUGGUGUUUGAAAUUCUUCAUGUUUUGUACUUUGAGUUGUAGAUUUUCUUAGUAAACGAUCCAUAAUAUAUUUGAGUUGGGAUACUUAGGAUCAUACAUUUAAACAAGUACCCAAACCCUUUUGAUGUUUAAUAAGUAUUCGGUUUAAAAAGUAUUUAAAAAAUUAAAAAAUUGAAUGUUUUACUAGAUGGAAUUUAUCUAAGUAGAUCUGUUGUACUAAUGUUGUACAUGUGCUUCAUAGAAUUGCAUAUAUGGCAUGAGGUUGAAGUCUAAUAUUUGGAUUACAUUAACGCAUUAUCAUUUUGACGCGCUUAUGAUCUUGGUUGUGACUCAUUUGUGGUAUGUACCGUUAGGCUAACAUGUUGAUGAGAAUGCUAGUUUAUGAGACGCUAUCACGCUCUUAUGAUCUAUUGAUCUUGGUUAAUGUUGUUUCAUGUGAAUCAUUGAAUAUGGAUCAUUCGUAGUUGUUGAUGAAAUGUUUCCAUCACAUAUUUUACUCUCUUUGUCUUCCAUUUCAAGUAAUAAAUGGUCACACACAACUCUUUCUAAUUUUGAAGUAUUCCAUAAUCUAUUCUUUCCUUUUAUCAAGAACGUUGAUUCUCCCAUUAUUCUAUAUUUGUAGGUCGUACAAAAAAAUACCUCUUUUUGGGAAUAUUAAUUAAGACAUUUAUUUGUUGAAAAUUAAAUUUGAUGUCACAAAUGGUAUCUACUUUUCUCUUGGUUGGGGACACAUAAUAAUUUUAGUAUCUUUUAUAUCUAUAAAUAAAUAUUAUAAAAUAUUUAUUUUGAUAUUUAAGAAUCAUAACAAGUUUGUAAAAGCGUCAAACUAGUUGGAGUUUUACAAUUUUGAAACAAAUUCUUAAGUUGCAAAUUCUCAUUAGUAAGUGGCUCAACAAUAUUUCACAUAGCCAAAGCAAUCGCAGAAUCAUCAAAUAAGAUAUCUCUUCAAGUCGCAAUACAACAAUAGGCAUUAUUUUCUUAUAAAAAUAAUUAUUUUAAUACUUCUUAAAUAAUAAUUUCAAUAUGAAAUGCAAAAUAUUUAAAUGUUUUUACUUUAUUGCAACUUUUAUCUAUAUAAAAAUUGGUCCUUAUACAGAUUUACAUAAUAAACCAAAUCAAACUUAUCACACAAAGAGGUUGGCCUAUUGGUGAAGACCUGGGACUUGAGAGUUUGCUCCUCUUAAUGUUUGAAGUUCAACACCUGGUAGUGUAAACUUUUUGUUAUUUAUCUCCUUUGUUAUUUUUUACUUUUGUUUAAGGUCCCAAUAAAAUCUACUAUUUAUUUAUCAUCUUAUCAUUUAA
rnacentral:lncRNA from 1 species